GGAACAAAUAGAAAUCAAAAGAUAGAAAAAUAAAAAUUAAAGGUAGAAAAGCAAUAUCUCUGAACUAUUCUCCCUGAAUAAUUUUUAAUGUGAUUCGAGUAAGGUUACUCAUUAGCAAAUGAAAAUAUUAUUAACUGCUUUUGCUUGGAUUCUAAGAGACUUUUGUUUUAGGAUAAUACCUAUUUAUUAAAAAGAUGUAUGGAGUUCACAGGAAGACCUUAUUUAAUUCCCACCACAUGCAAGAAGCAUAACAAGGUACAUCACAAACAAGAAGCUCUUGCUUUAGUUUUUAAAACUUGGCAAAAUAGUUUUAAAUUUGAAAGAUAUCUAAAAUAUAUCAUAGGAAAAAAAAUAUAUCAUAGGAUAAACUUACUUAAAAACUAGAGAUAACAAAAACUGCUCAUAGAUUCUACUUUUGAAUACUUUAAAAUGGUAAGUUCACAGAGCUGGGGUUGCAGGUCAAUGGGAGAGAACCUGCCUAGCAUGUACAAAGCCCUCAGUUCAGUCCCUAGUGCCGUAAUUUAAAACAAAAACAAUCAAGAAUAUCUGGACCAGUUAUUGUCAUAUGAAAUAUAUGGGAGCUACAGUGCUGUAUCACGUCUGUCUUCUGUGAGAACAAAACAGAGGCAGAUUAAUAGAGGAUAUGUAAAAAUAUUUAGGAAAGAUGUGUGAAUUCUAUACUGAACUUGUCAUUUUAUCCUGCAACCUUCAUUAACUGUUUUAUAAUUUUCUCACUGCCCACAGGCUGACUGCUACGCAAGGGGUACGCUAUCUAUGGCACAUUAAGAGAAAUGGGAGGCUGUGCCGCAGCUUCCUGGACUUGUGGCAGACGCCUGCUCUGCCUUGGAUACAACCUUCUAAAGACAGGUGCUUUAGAGUCCGCAUACUGGGGAGUGAGUUAAAGUUGUGAAGAUCAAGGUUUCAAUCUCCUAAAACAGAGGUGGCCUGCAGAGCUAUCUCACUACUUCCAGUCCCUGUUUUUGCAGGGCCUAGGGAAUAUACGCAAGGGUGCUUAUCAGGCACGUGACUUUGUGAACUGAGAAGUGAAUGGCAGUUACACUAACGAUAGUGUCUGACUGUAGAAACUGACAGCAACAUCCACGUUUAUGAGCAAAACAAACAAAAGCCAAGCACAACCACCACCGUAAAGACAAGGGGACAAGGUUUAAUGUUGACGUGUAAGAGAAAGUUGGCAACACAAAUCAAUAACGUACUGAAGCCUCAUCAGAAAACUGCCAGGACAGAAAGAAAAAUGCUAUUUGAAAACUCAGAACAACUAUUCCUAGCCUACCAUACAGAAGACAUGUAGAAAACUUAAUUGAAUCAAAAUAAUUCAAGUGCUGUGAUACUCUUCUAAAUAAUCAGGCAUACUGUAUGUAGCGAGAUUCUGUCUCAAAAUAAAAUUUUUAAAAGGGUUGGAGAUUUAUCGCAGUAGUAGAGCAUUUACACAGCAGGUGUGAGGCCUAGCACCACAAGGGAACAAAGAAGUGGAUUCACAAGAUGAAGGCUUCAUUUUGAUAUUUUUCCUGCUUUGUUUGGUUUAUUCAUUAACUUUCGCUAAACUGUUUUCUUUGCCUACUGCACAAUGACAGAGUCAGUUGCUAAAAAUUCUGCCCUGCUCCGCUACCUAGAGGGAUAAUCUGGGAGAGACAGUUAUCAAGUCCCUGUGCAUCCUUUGAGAACCACAGAACCAAAUCCAGUAACUUUACCAAUUAGAUUUUGCUGUAGCCUAUUAGGAUAACUACAGGACAGGAGGUGGAGAUACUUUCUAAAGUGAGACCAAACUGUAACACCAAGAGUACUCAUGUCACAUAGGGUUCACGGUAAUUCUGUGGUGAUAGAAAUGCUAUGCAGUGCGGCAGCCACUAGCCACACGUAUUUGAAGUAGGCAAUUAAAAUUUUAUUCAAUUUAAGAAGCCGCAAGUAGCUAUUGGCUGUUUGAACAGCACAGGUAAAAGGGAUAUUUUUAUAGCUAGUUCUUUUAACAACUAUCUUAGUUAAUUCAAUUAGUAUUUAAGAAAUCUACAUCUGCUACAAAUAAAGUGAAGUGGGAGUACAUGAUGGUGUGAGAAGAAACAGUAUUUAUUUUAUUUUUGGUACUGAAAAUUGAACCCAGGACCCUGAGCUUGCCUGGCGGGCACUCGUGCCACUGAGCUAUAUCCCUGGCCUAGAAAGUGUUUUAAAAUCCACAAAAAUUAAAUAAUUCAACAUUUCUAGGAAGAUAGGUUAUUUUUGCAUUAUUAUAUUUGUUUUUUGAUUUUUGUUUACUUUUUUCUGUUGUAUGUUUUUUUGGUAAUAAUAAAUAGGGAUUAUUUUAACAACUACCUAUACUAUUUGGUUCUAAACUAGAUCUAUUUCAUUUGGACAGUUCUAUUUAUUGGUUUUCUUUUGGCCCUCAAUUUGUUGCUUUAGUUCUGUAGAAUGUAUUUUGCUUAUUGUGUUGCUGCAGGCUUAUUUUUGUUUUUUGUUUUUGUGGUUUUUUUUUUGUUGU